rnacentral:rRNA from 1 species
GAUGAACGCUAGCGGCAGGCUUAAUACAUGCAAGUCGAGGGGCAGCACGAAUAGCAAUAUUUGGUGGCGACCGGCGCACGGGUGCGUAACACGUAUACAACCUACCUAUAACAGGGGGAUAGCCUUUCGAAAGAGAGAUUAAUACCCCGUAAUAAAUUGAGUGGCAUCACUUGAUUUUGAAAGCUACGGCGGUUAUAGAUGGGUAUGCGUCUGAUUAGCUAGUUGGUGAGGUAACGGCUCACCAAGGCGACGAUCAGUAGGGGAUCUGAGAGGACUAACCCCCACACUGGUACUGAGACACGGACCAGACUCCUACGGGAGGCAGCAGUAAGGAAUAUUGGUCAAUGGAGGCAACUCUGAACCAGCCAUGCCGCGUGCAGGAUGACGGCCCUAUGGGUGUAAACUGCUUUUGUACCAGAGAAAACCUACUCAACGUGUGAGUAGCUGAUAGUAUGGUAAAGAAUAAGCAUCGGCUAACUUCUGCC